UCGAGAAUAUUCGACAAUGGGCGAAAGCCUGAUCGAGCGACGCCGCGUGCAGGAUGAAGGCCUUCGGGUCGUAAACUGCGGUAGCUAGGGAGGAACUUCGGUGACUGUACCUAGCGGAAAGAGGUGGGUAACUACGUGCCAGCACCAGCGGUAAUACGUAGACCUCAAGCGUUAUCCGGAUUUAUUGGGCGUAAAGCGUGUGUAGGAGGUUCUGUGCGUCUUUGGUUAAAGCCCACCGCCUAACGGUGGAAAUGCCAAGGAUACGGCAGGACUAGAGGGGUUAGAGGUGCGCGGAAUGCACGGUGUAGGGGUGAAAUCCGUUGAUAUCGUGCAGAACACCAACGGCGAAGGCAGCGCACUGGGACUCUCCUGACUCUGAGACACG
rnacentral:rRNA from 1 species